GCUGCACCUGUGGCAUACGGAAGUUCCCAGGCUAGGGGUCAAGUCAGAGCAGCAGCUGCUGGCCUAUACCACAGUCAGAGCAACUCGGGAUCCAAGUUGAGUCUGCAACCUACACCACAGCUCAUGGCAACACUGGAUCCUUAACCCACUGAGCAAGGGCUGGGAUCAAUCCCGAGUCCUCAUAGAUACUAGUUGGGUUUGUUACUGCUGAGCCAUGAUGGGAACUCUCCAAAAACUUCUGAUACAUCUGAUUUGGUAUCUUGGAAAGGAAAGAAAAGUAGAAAAAAAUAUUCCAAUAUGGACACUAAAUGAUACCCACUACCAGCUGAUUAAUUUUUUAUCCUAAGGCCCUAUGGUCCCCUGGGGGCAAGUUCAUGUAUAUCAUAUCCCAUCCCUGAGCCCAGUACACAGUUAUGCUCACUAAAUCUCAUUUGAUUGAAUGAAUAAAUACAUUUCUCCCCAUUAAAUAUGGAGAUUGUCGAAUUGUUAUUGCUGUGAUUUACCCACUUCCAUUUAGGGCAUGGGUUAUAUCCCCACAAUGCUAAAACAUCCAAGAGAAAACAAUAAAAAUCAGCAAAGAACAUGACUAUUUUAGUUGAGAAGCAAAAAAAAAAGGUCUAGAACCUGUACUGCUCAAAACAGUGCCUAGUAGCAAUGUGGCAAUUUUAUAUUUAAAUUCAGUAACAUUUAAAAAUCAGUUGCUCAAUUGCCCUAGCCAAUAUCAAGCAUUAAAUAACUGUAUAAGGCUAGUGGCUAUAGCAUCAGACAGAAAAUUAAAAGUUCUGUUGAAUUGAAAGUUCUAGAUGAUUGCCUAAAAUUCUUCCAUUUCAUCAUGAUAUUCUAUGCUUUUAGAAAUAUAUCAGGAGUUCAAGAUCUUUUUGAAGUAUGUGGUAGAGUCCCUUAAGGGAAGUGACUUGAGGAAUAAAGUUUUCCUGUAACUUGGGCUUAUGAAAAUUUCUCCAAGACUGAGGGGAGAGCUUGUGAAAACACACUGAAGCCUAUCUAGUAUUAUUCCCUGUGGACAGAAUUUUCUUAUUCAUUUUUAUACUUCUAGCAGGUAAGAAAUUUUACCUAGUAAAAGCUGAAGAAUGUUAAAUAUGUAUGUAUCCUGAUAAAUGACACAUUCUCAUUCAAACAUUUCACAUACUUCCCAUAUAUGACACAUUUAUUUCAGUUAUCGGAAGGGUAGUGGAUUCUGCUGCCUAGAGAAUAAAGAAAGGGUUGGCCUAUCAGCAGCUUUAUCUUGUUAUGAGGUCUGUCUUCCUUCUUCUUUCCCCCUCCUAUGCAGUCUAUUUCUCCUGUCUAUAGUACUAGGUCCCCAAAUAUAGCAGUAGGUCUGAUCCAGUGAUGAUACCAUCACAGAGUUUAUGCUGACUGACCACAUACCCUAGACUGGCAACAUUACCUACAGUCAGAAACGUUUGCAACCAUAUGAUGAACUCCUAAUACCCAAUGUGAUGAUAUUAGUAGGUGGGGCCUUUGGGAGAUACUUGAGUCAUGAGAAUGGAGCCCUCACGAAUGGAAUGAGUGUCUUAUAAAGAAGCUCCAGAGAGAUCCCUGGCGUAUUCAACCAUGUGAGGAUACAGCUAGAAGACAACCAUAUAUUAACCAGGAAGCGAUCCCCUACUUGACCAUGCUGCACCUUGUUCUUAGACUCUCUGACUCCAGGAAUGUGACAAUUAUUGUUGAUUAUAAGCUCCUCAGUCUGUGGUAUUUUGUCACAGCAGCCCAAAUGAACUAAGACACUGUCCACUCUGGUAACCUUCUGAGAGUGCAAGGAAGUGGUAUUAAUAGUUCCAUUGAGACAUGAGGCAUGACCCAAGGUGGGCCAACUGGUUUGUUCUUAUCUUUCAGUAGUUCUAUGCUAUUGUAGAUGCGUAGAAUGUUCCUCCCAAAGUCACAGGUUGAAACCCAAUCCCCAAAGUGUUAGUAUUUGGAAGUGGAGCCUUUUGAAGGUGAUUAACACAUGAGGGCAGAGCUCUCACAAAUGGGAUUAGUGCUCUUAAUCUUAUGAGAGAUCUUAGAGAGCACCUUUGUCCCCCUGCCAUGUAAGAAGACAGCCAUCUAUAUACCAGCAAGUAGGCUCUCACCAGACACCACAUCUGCCAGUGCCUUAAUCUUGGAGUCCCCAGUCUCCAGAACAGUAAGAAAUAAAUUUCUAAUGUUUAAAAGCCUCUUAGUCUGUGGUAUUCUAUCCUAGCAACCUGAACAAACUAGGAGAUGUCAACUUUUCCUGGAUUUCUAGACCAUGCUUUCAAUAAGAUUCAAACAUCCUCAGAAACAUAUUCCUUCACAUAUAGCCAGAUUUGUGAACAGUCAUCAUGCUCACUGAGCUCAUAUAAUUUAUACUAAUUGAUUAACAUAAUCCAUGUUUUACAAUUGUUUUGGCAACAAUUAAUUACAAAGUUUCUAUAAUAAAGGUCAAUAUAACAGCACUAAAGGAGGAUUUCUCCACUGUCCUUCAAGCUGCCUGAUAUUCUGAGAUAAAGCCUUUGGUCAGGACUUUGUUAAAAUGACAAGUAACAGCUUAGGAUGAGGCCAUUUGAAAAUUCCCAUGAGGAAGUUCCCAUCGUAGCUCAGUGGUUAACAAACCCAACUAGUAUCCACGAGGACAAGGGUUCAAUCCCUGGCCUCGCUCAGUGAGUCAGGAAUCUAGCAUUGCCGUGAGCUGUGGUAUAGGUAGCAGACAUGGCUCAGAUCUGGCAUUGCUGUGGUUGUGGCACAGACCAAUGGCUACAGCUCUAAUUCGACUCCUAGCUUGAGAACUUCCAUAUGCUGUGGGUGUAACCCUAAAAAGACAAAAGGAAAAAAAAAAAAAAGGAAAACGCAAAAGAAAAUUCCCACGAGAACAUCAUUCACAUUGGACCUCAGGUGAAGAAGGAGGCAGCAGAAGGAGGAGAUCUCAAAAGGGGAGGUCAUCCUUGCCCGAAAUCCAUGUCAGUAAACUCUAGUCUAACCAUAAUAACACUCAGGAGAGGAUCCUUGGUCAGAUCACUUUUUAAUUUCAAAAAAGACUGAUUUCCAUUCUAAAAAUAUUUCAUUUAAAUCAGGUGUUCUUUCUUCAACAUUCUUCCCCUGACUCCAUUAGCAGAGGAGAAUUUGAUCCAUGAUACAUCCAGUCUAACAUGGAUGAGAUGCCUCCUCCCCAAGCCCCACCUCCUCUUGGGAGAUAGUAAAGGGGGAGGGGGAGUCUUAAGAAUCACUAAAAGUCUCUUAGAACAUAGAGCUUGCCUUGUAAUCAUUUAUUACGUUCUCUUGGUCCUCAGAAGGGGGAAAUCGCUCCCUGUAUUUGCUGUUAGAAUGGUAGAAAACAAUAAUGUUUACCUAUAGAUUUGAUCACAACAGGGAUGUUUGGUGAAAGAAGAAGUAAAAGAUUUCACAGUUUCAUGGCAAACAUCCAGUCUUCGGCAUGCAGGGUGGAAAAAGUGCCUAGAGAAAUGUGGAGACCCUGUCCAGGGCUCUGACAUUUCUGUGUGCAGAAUGGCAAGACUUUUAAUAGAGAAGAGUGCAACAGUGGUCAACUGAAAGCCUCUUUCUUGUCCUUUGAUUCAUCCUGAAGGGCAGCAACUGGUGACAGUGUCUUGUGGGCUCUUUGCCAGUUCUUGGAUGGCUGUGGCUCUGGCCUGGGACUGGGUGUUUACCCUCACAGAGCUCCUGUAGCGCAGAAUGCAGCACAAAUGUGCCUCUCUUGCACAUUCUAUUAUGUGCACUCACAGUUGUGUUUCACCAGAAUGGAGAAAGUGAGAGCCUGAGACGGGACAACCUAGUUGAUAAUCUCAAUUAUAAAAUUACAUAUGAGAAUAUAAUACAUUCCUAAGUAGUGAUAAAUGGAAGAGUAAAUGAGGACUUUAUUCUCUGUUGGACAUGCAUAACCAUAAGGUACCAGAAAGACAAAGGUAAAAUUGGUAAAGGAUCAUUUAUGUGUUAAGAUCUGAAAAGCCCUCCCAGCGCUAAGAGAAAAAACAAUUUCUCUCACUGAUGGGUAAAGUUCCAUUACUAAAGAUCCCUUCCUUUGGUUUAAGCCUUAUUCGAGACAGGCUGAGAAUAUUCAUAGCAUUUGGCUAUUAUAGUGGAAAUGGUUUCAUUGCCUCCAGGAUUCUUUCAACUUACCCAUUCAGCUAGAAAACAAAAACACCCCGCAUACUUCUUUUGCAUUACUUUUGUUCCAUUGUCAAAGAUCAGUUGACUACAUUAUGGGGGGUGUUUUUCCAGACUUUCUAUUCCAGUUCUUUGAUCUAUUUGUCUAUUCUUUCAUCAGUCUUUGGUUUCAUUAAACCACAGUCCUCAUUACUGUAGCUUUAUUGUCAAGUAUUAAAGUCAAGUAUUAUCAAUACUCCAACUUUGUUCUUCAAGACUGUGUUUGCUAUUCUGGGGUUUUUUGCUUCUCCACUUCUUAUAAACUAUAAAAAUCAGUUUGUCGAAAUUCCUACAAUAACUAAAUCUAUAGAGCAAGUAAAUUAGCAAGAAUUGAUUUUUGACAGUAUUGAAUCUUCUUCUAAAUGAACGUGGACUAUCUCUCCAUUUAUUUAGCUAUUCUUUGAUUUCAUUCAUUAGUUUUAUAGUUCCCGUCACAUAGAUCUUAUACAUAUUUUGUUAGGUUUAUCCCUAAAUAUUUCAUUUUGGCUGUAUGAUGUUGAAAAGGAAUAGUGAAGUGGGCAUCUUUGUACUUGAUCUUAGUGGGAAAGCUUUGAGUUUCUCACCAUUAAGUAUAAUGCCACUGCAGGAUUUUAGUAGAUAGUCUUUAUGAAGUUGAGGAAAUUCUCCUGUAUUGCUAGUUUUCUGAGUUUUUAAUCAUAAAUGGAUGUCAGAGUUUGUCAGAUGCCUUUUUUGCAUCUAUUAUCAUCAUGUGAUUUUGCCCUUUUCAGUCUGUUAAUAGAUGGAUUAUAUUGAUUUUCAACACAUUUCCUUAAAGGUAGUAUCUGAAUGCAAAUUCUAUUCAAUUAUAUGCCAUAUAAUGAGACAUGGAAGGCAGAGAGAGAUAGUCCUAUCUUCCUGCUCUUCUGCUUUCUGCUGGCAAGCAGUUAAACCAGGGGCUCCUCACAUCAAAAAGAAUAAAAUACCUAGAAAUACACCUACCUAAAGAGAAAAAAGACCUGUACUCUGAAAACUAUAAGACAUUGAUGAAAGAAAUCAAAGAUGACAUAAAUAGGUGGAAAGAUACACCAUGCUCUUGGGUUAGAAGAAUCAAUAUAGUGAAAAUGACAAUGCAAUCUAAAGCAAUCUACAGAUUCAAUGUAAUCCCUAUCAAAUUACCAAUGACAUUCUUUACAGAACUAGACAAAAUAUUUUAAAAUUUAUAUGGAAACACAAAAGACCUUGAAUAGCCAAAGCAAUAGUGAAAAGAAAAUACGGAACUAGAGGAAUCAGGAUCUCUGACUUCAGACUCUACUACAAAACUACAAUCAUCAAAACAGUAUUGUACAGGCACAAAAACAGAAAUAUAGAUCAAUGGAACAGGAUAGAAAGGACCAGAAAUAAACCCAAGAGCCUAUGGUCAACUAAUCUAACAAAGGAGGCAAGAAUAUAUUGUAGAUGCCACAGGUGUGCUUGAAAAGCAAAAAAAAAAAAAAAAAUCCCUUCAAUAAGUUUUGCUGGGAAAACUGAAUAGCCACAUGUAAGAGAAGGAAAAAUAAACUCAAAAUGGAUUAAAGACUUAAAUGUAAGGCCCAAUACUAUAAAAAUCUUAGAGGAAAACACUGCAGAACACUCUUUGACAUAAAUCACAGCAACAUCUUGUUUGAUCUACAUCCUAGAAUAAUGACAAUAAAGAUAAAAAUAAACCAAUGGGACCUAAUUAAACAAAAAGGUUUCUGCAUAGCAAAGGAAACCAUUAAAAGAAAAAAACCCACAGAAUGGGAGAAAAUCUUUGCAAAUGAUUCAACCAACAAAGGUUUAAUCUCCAAAAUAUACAGACAACUCAUACAACCCAACAGCAAAAAAAACAACCCAGGAGUUCCCACUGUGGCACAGCAGAAACGAAUCCGACUAAUAUCCACAAGGAGGCAGGAAUUCAAUCCCUGUCCUUGUUCAGUGGGUCAGGGAUCUGGUGUUGCUGUGAGCUGUGGUAUAGGUCAAAGAUGUGGCUCAGAUCCCAUGUUGCUGUAGCUGUGGUAUAGGCCAGCAGCUGUAGCUCUGAUUUGACCCCUAUCCUGGUGUGGCCCUAAAAAAAAUACAUAUGUAUAUAUAUAUGUGUGUGUGUGUAUAUAUAUGCAUAUAUAUAUGUGUAUAUAUGUGUGUGUGUAUAUAUAUAUAUA
rnacentral:lncRNA from 1 species